rnacentral:rRNA from 1 species
GGAUAAGCCUGGGAAACUGGGUCUAAUACCGGAUAGGAGCCAUUUUUAGUGUGAUGGUUGGAAAGUUUUUCGGUGUAGGAUGAGUUCGCGGCCUAUCAGCUUGUUGGUGGGGUAAUGGCCUACCAAGGCGGCGACGGGUAGCCGGCCUGAGAGGGUGGACGGCCACAUUGGGACUGAGAUACGGCCCAG